UGGGGAAUUUUGGACAAUGGGCGAAAGCCUGAUCCAGCAAUGCCGCGUGUGUGAAGAAGGCCUUCGGGUUGUAAAGCACUUUUGUCCGGAAAGAAAUCCUUGGCUCUAAUACAGUCGGGGGAUGACGGUACCGGAAGAAUAAGCACCGGCUAACUACGUGCCAGCAGCCGCGGUAAUACGUAGGGUGCAAGCGUUAAUCGGAAUUACUGGGCGUAAAGCGUGCGCAGGCGGUUUGCUAAGACCGAUGUGAAAUCCCCGGGCUCAGCCUGGGAACUGCAUUGGUGACUGGCAGGCUAGAGUAUGGCAGAGGGGGGUAGAAUUCCACGUGUAGCAGUGAAAUGCGUAGAGAUGUGGAGGAAUACCGAUGGCGAAGGCAGCCCCCAUGGGCCAAUACUGACGCUCAUGCACGAAAGCGUGGGGAGCAAAACAGGAUUAGAUACCCCUGGUAGUCCACGCCCAUAAAACGAUGUCAACUAGUUGUUGGGGACUUCAUUUCCUUAGUAACGUAGCUAACGCGUGAAGUUGACCGCC
rnacentral:rRNA from 1 species